UACACACACACAUGAAAAGAGACUGAGGGUAUUGUAGCUUAUGAACAGUAAUUCUCUUAUGAAUAGUGAGCUUCCCAUUUUGCCCCUUACCACGAGUUGGAUGCCUCUGACGCUGAGUUGCUAUGCGUAUUGGCUUGACUCUGUGUGUUUGCUCCAGAUAAGGACACAUUCUCUCUUCUAAACCCCUAUGCUUUCUCUAUGGCGCUAUCUAUGGUUGUUCUUUGAUUGCCACCGUUUCCAUCUGCUUGUUUAGAGCGACAGCGAAAGGUUUUGAUCGCCCCUUUUAUCCAUGCCAACAAUUCACUGCUCUAAUCCCUCAAUUUUUUGCUUUAUCUUCUUCGCUAUGAUCUUUGGUAGAUUGUACUUUUCUGCUUCUGCGGAUUUCAACUGGGAGUUUUGGAUUGUUUCUCAGAUUUGUCUUGAACAAAGGGUUUAAAUUAUUUUGUUCGACGAAUUGGUUUAGGAUAAAGGCGUCUAGAUAUUGAUCGAUCCAAAGGCUCUCAUGCAUGUUAUUGGAACCUCUUCUCAGGUAUGACAAAUCAGCAACUUAUUGAUCAUGGACACCAAAUGAUGGAUGAGACUGAUCAAGCCAUUGAUAGAGCACAAAGGUUAUUCAUCAAACUAUCAACGGAGGACUAUGACUCUGACAAUGCUUUUAGUGUUCUCUGUAGUAUCUGCAAGUUUAAAGUUGACUUUUAGUGAAGAUACUUCUAAGGUAAAGACAUACUAAUUUCUCUAUCCACAUCUCUUUUUUUUCCCCCCUAAGUGCUUUCAAAUUUUGAUUUUUUGUUAGCUGAUUUCGAUAUUUUUUGUUAUUAGUACGUAUAUGCAGCUUCCUCAACUGUUUUUUUAUUAAUCUAUGAUAUCUUCAGGAGUUUCUUCUUAUAUGUACUUUUCUAUGUUCAAACCCUAAA